AGGGUGACCUGCGGAAGGAUCAUUACUGAAUUGUCAAACGGGUUGUUGCUGGCCCUCAUAGGGGGCAUGUGCACGCUCUGUUUACACAUCCACUCACACCUGUGCACCCUCUGUAGUUCUAUGGUCUGGGGGACCCUGUCUUCCUUCUGUGGUUCUACGUCUUUACACACACACUGUAAUAAAGUUUUAUGGAAUGUACAUCGCGUCUAACGCAAUACAAUACAACUUUCAGCAACGGAUCUCUUGGCUCUCGCAUCGAUGAAGAACGCAGCGAAAUGCGAUAAGUAAUGUGAAUUGCAGAAUUCAGUGAAUCAUCGAAUCUUUGAACGCACCUUGCGCCCCUUGGCUAUUCCGAGGGGCAUGCCUGUUUGAGUAUCAUGAACACCUCAACUCUCAUGGUUUGCCAUGAUGAGUUGGACUCUGGGGGUUUUGCUGGCCUGUGGUCGGCUCCUCUCAAAUUAAUCAGCCUCCCAGUGUUUGGUGGCAUCACGGGUGUGAUAAAUAUCUACGCUCGCUGUUGUCUGCCAGGUAACCUUUGGUCACAAAGGUUUGCUGGAGCUCACAGAUGUCUCUCCUCAGCGAGGACAGCUUUUUUAACGUUCGAUCUCAAAUCAGGUA
rnacentral:rRNA from 1 species